rnacentral:tRNA from 1 species
GCCCACAUAGCUCAGUGGUAGAGCACCCCCUUGGUAAGGGGGAGGUCGGUGGUUCAAUCCCACCUGUGGGCACCA